AUCCAACUGAUAAGUCUCAAAUAAGAUGAAACUUAUGUCCUGGAU
rnacentral:hammerhead_ribozyme from 1 species